rnacentral:rRNA from 1 species
GGACUACCCGGGUAUCUAAUCCCGUUCGCUCCCCUAGCCUUCGCGCCUCAGCGUCAGGUACGGCCCAGGGGGCCGCCUUCGCCACGGGUGUUCCUGCUGAUCUCUACGCAUUUCACCGCUACACCAGCAAUUCCACCCCCCUCUACCGACCUCUAGCCAAGUAGUCUAAAGUGCACCCUCCCCGUUGAGCAGGGAGAUUUCACACCUUACUUACUCCGCCGCCUGCGCGCGCUUUACGCCCAGUAAAUCCGGACAACGCUUGCAUCCUACGUAUUACCGCGGCUGCUGGCAC